UUGUUGUUGCUUUGUUUUUGUGUUUAUUUUAAGUUAUCCAUAAGCUGAGGACAACUAUUUAUUUAUUAUUGUGGGGCGUACAUGUCACAGCUGUAUGUAAGAAUAUACAUUGUUUACUUUACUGUAACACUUCAUUUGCUUGAGUAUCCAAAAAAAGAAAAGUCUUGGUUUUUUGUCCUUCAAAGCUUUACUCGCCAAAGUCCAAAACAAUCUUACAGAGGCCAAAUAUGCUGAUGCAAAAGAUACCGUUAAAAACCUAUUGAACAAAAGUCAAUUGACUUUUGUUCAAUAUAUACAACUAGACUUGGAAACGACUACAAAAGUCCUAUAGAAAUAGUGCCGUUAUUUAUUCUGAGCAUGGCCACAUGAAGGCCGGAGCAGCUAGUCUAGCGAGGAGGAGCCCCAGAGGGUAUGAGCCCCAGAGGGUAUGAGCCCCAGAGGGUAUGAGCCCAGAGGGGUAUGACGGCGACCCAAGCCGCAGGUAGUUAACUCUACUUCGGGCUCCAA